rnacentral:rRNA from 1 species
AACGAACGCUGGCGGCAUGCCUAACACAUGCAAGUCGAACGAGACCUUCAGGUCUAUUGGCGCACGGGUGCGUAACGCGUGGGAACCUGCCCUUAGGUUCGGAAUAACUCCCCGAAAGGGGUGCUAAUACCGGAUAAUGUCUUCGGACCAAAGAUUUAUCGCCUUUGGAUGGGCCCGCGUUGGAUUAGCUAGUGGGUAGGGUAAAAGCCUACCAAGGCGACGAUCCAUAGCUGGUCUGAGAGACUGAUCAGCCACACUGGGACUGAGACACGGCCCAGACUCCUACGGGAGGCAGCAGUGGGGAAUAUUGGACAGUGGGCGAAAGCCUGAUCCAGCAAUGCCGCGUGAGUGAUGAAGGCGUUAGGGUUGUAAAGCUCUUUUACCCGGGAUGAUAAUGACAGUACCGGGAGAAUAAGCUCCGGCUAACUCCGUG